rnacentral:rRNA from 1 species
UACGAACUGUGCAAACGUUAUUCGGAUUCACUGGGCUUAAAGGGUGCGUAGGCGGCCAUGUAAGUAGGGUGUGAAAUCCCCCGGCUUAACCGGGGAACUGCGCCCUAAACUGUGUGGCUUGAGUGAGAUAGGGGUGUGUGGAACUUCCGGUGGAGCGGUGAAAUGUGUUGAUAUCGGAAGGAACGCCGGUGGCGAAAGCGACACACUGGGUCUCGAACUGACGCUGAGGCACGAAAGCCA